CCUACGGGUGGCAGCAGUCGAGAAUCAUUCACAAUGGGGGAAACCCUGAUGGUGCGACGCCGCGUGGGGGAAUGAAGGUCUUCGGAUUGUAAACCCCUGUCAUGUGGGAGCAAAUUAAAAAGAUAGUACCACAAGAGGAAGAGACGGCUAACUCUGUGCCAGCAGCCGCGGUAAUACAGAGGUCUCAAGCGUUGUUCGGAAUCACUGGGCGUAAAGCGUGCGUAGGCUGUUUCGUAAGUCGUGUGUGAAGGGCGCGGGCGCAACCCGCGGACGGCACAUGAUAUGGCGAGACUAGAGUAAUGGAGGGGGAACCGGAAUUCUCGGUGUAGCAGUGAAAUGCGUAGAUAUCGAGAGGAACACUCGUGGCGAAGGCGGGUUCCUGGACAUUAACUGACGCUGAGGCACGAAGGCCAGGGGAGCGAAAGGGAUUAGAUACCCCAGUAGUC
rnacentral:rRNA from 1 species